GGACGGGCGGGAAGGCCUGCACCUGCAGCAGGUGCGCGACGGGCGCCCAGCCGCGGGCUCCCGAGCGCCAGCCGGCACCGCAGGGUCCUCCGGGGGAGGGGCGGGCUCCGCGGCCGGCUCGCUCCGCAGACCGGGCUUUCCCGCAGCUGCUCCGGCCCGCUCCCGCUCUUCUUGCGCCCAGCGGCCCCUCCCUUCUUUUAUCCCGUGGACUGUCCUCCCCGGCGUCCGCGCCUGCGCUCAUUUCUUGAGCCGCUGGUGCAGGCGCUGUUUGGGGCGUGGCAAGCACAACCGUGCACACAGUGGCCCGAACUCCCUGCCCUCCAGAGCCUAGGAGCCGAGAGUUAGGGAGGGAGGGACCGACCAGACGUAACGGACCCGGGACUAGAGUAAUUUACCGUGUCGGGAAGUGGGCGAGCGCUGUUGGAAAAAAGAGGAAAGGUAAAGCCAGGUAAGGCGUCUGGGUUGGAAAGAGCAGGUGGCGACCUUAGUAGGGCACCGAGAGUCGAUCUCGGGAAGAAGCCAGACCAUUUGCCGUGAGGAUUGCCUGAGGUGCAGGGACAGCUGGUGCAAAGGCCCUAAGCUGGAGACCAGGGGUCUGUGCGUGAGGUCGGUUGAACGAGAAGACGAGUAGGAGCGGUACUCAGCCCAUCUGUAGGCGUGUAUGCCCCUGGGAGACCAGCUUUAUUCUGAGUGAUGGUGUCACUUGAGAGUCCGGGCCCUCCACGCCAGCUGCCUGGGACCCCUGAUGCUGAGCUCCUGCAGGAAAGAGGUUUGGAUCAGUAUUGAGAGGAACUAUAUUCAGUUUCUGCCCUCAUCCUACAUCCAAUUUGGAAAAAAUCAGAAUCAUAAGAAAAGAUCCUACAAAGCAACUUAUUAAAGAAUUGUAUUCCUUAUUAUAUAUACUUAAUGACAUGUACAACUUGACAUGUAUGAUCAAUAACUUACGUAUGUGUCCAUGAAACGUAUGGUAUCAUUUGGUAACUCCUACCCCACCAGUUUUGCCAACGUGUCCAUGUUGACCAUAUAUAAUUUUACUUCUGUAGACCUUUUUGGAACCUUGAGAUUUUAAAAGUAUAGAAUGAGUCCCUGAGAAACAAGAUAAAACAGUGGCAAAGAAAGA